AUAUGCUUGUCUCAAAGAUUAAGCCAUGCAUGUCUCAGUGCAAGCCGCACUAAGGUGAAACCGCGAAUGGCUCAUUAAAUCAGUUAUGGUUCCUUGGACCUGACGUUCUACUUGGAUAACUGUGGUAAUUCUAGAGCUAAUACAUGCAUCUCAGUCCCGACCAGAAAUGGAAGGGACGCUUUUAUUAGAUCAAAACCAAUCGGCUUCGGCCGUCCGCUUUUGGUGACUCUGAAUAACUUUGAGCUGAUCGCACGGUCUCCGCACCGGCGACGCACCCUUCAAAUGUCUGACUUAUCAACUGACGAUGGUAGGCUCUGCGCCUACCAUGGUUGUAACGGGUGACGGGGAAUCAGGGUUCGAUUCCGGAGAGGGAGCCUGAGAAACGGCUACCACAUCCAAGGAAGGCAGCAGGCGCGCAAAUUACCCACUCCCGGCACGGGGAGGUAGUGACGAAAAAUAACGAUACGGGACUCAUCCGAGGCCCCGUAAUCGGAAUGAGUACACUUUAAAUCCUUUAACAAUUAGCCAUUGGAGG
rnacentral:rRNA from 1 species